AGGGGCUGGAAUGUCUGAGCUGCUUCUUUCAAUUUUAUAGUUGUCACAAUGAUUUAGAAAGGUUCUUUCAUUAGAGGCAAGGCAUAGAAUUUUCUCUCCCCACCUAAAUCUAAGCCUGGAGCAUUCUCUCUCUCUCUCUCUCUCUCUCUCUCUCUCUCUCUCUCUCACUGUCUCUCUCUGUCUCUCAGUGUGGGUGUGGCUGUAUGGCCUCCAAGCAAUAUGAGAAGACAUGAAGACCACUCUCUUUUCAUUGAUUUCCUUCCUUUUUGGCUCCUUAGAAAUGAAACACUAAGACCUACCCAAGGCUUGCAGAAAAGAGACCUCAGGCAAGGUGCUGUAGUGGCAGGCAUAUGAUCUUGGAAUCAGUCCCAAAGUCAUGAAUGUCACCUGGAGUUUUGAGACAAUGAGGAGGUGGGUUUUGAGAAGCCCUGCACCUCUCCCUUUGGAAAAUGCUCUUUUCUACUCUCCAAGACUGCCAGUCACACAGCCUAAGUUGCCGUCUUUUGAGUGUGGGCUCCUGACCUAAGCAGAACCAAGCAAAGUCUCUCCCAGGUAUUGAUAUGGAUGCUGAACAAAGACUGUCUUUGGGGCUACAUGAACCCCAGUAGUUAUGCUUUCCUCCUUUGUAGAAAAAGGAUUUGGAAACUGGGAAGAAGGUGGAAGGUUCUUGGCAGAGCAUUCAGAACUUGGAAGUAGGAAGACUCAUAAAUAGCUCUCAAAACAUUUCCUUCUACUUGGCUACCAGCUGAACCUUCACCUACCUGCACAGCACUGGCUGCUGGGGAGAGAAGAAAGACAACCUUUCAGCUCUCCCCACCUCAGUCUCCAUGUGCAGUCUGAGCAGCACUGGGUUUUGUCCAACUGGCUUCGUGGCACCCACUUCCUGUCCUGUGAAUGGCGGCUGCUUUCCCAGACUGUUAUCUGACUCCACUAUCAGCUGCAGACUUCUAGGAAGAAGGAUGUUCCACAAGAGCAAGUGCAUGUGGCCAGCGCUCAUGGAAACUCUAGCAGCCACAAGCACCACGGAGCCCAGCACAUUGUUCAAGAUCUCUGGUAUUCACAAGUCUGGCAGGAGCAGGGUAGUCAAGAUAAACAGCGUUCCUGAACUGGUUAUUCACAUUCCCAGAGGCUGGAGGGCUGACUUUGCUCCUAAAAUGCUUCUCCUCCGCAGAUUUUAGACUUUACACUGUAAUCUCACUAGCUGUGUGAGUUUGGGCAUAUUAUUUUGCCCUGUAGGUCUCCAUGAGGAGAAGUGUUAAAGAAGCCUGAUUGCCAACGUGUAUCGAGGGCUUACGGUGUACAAGGCAGGCUACAGAGUAGGUACUAUGCACUAUUAUUGUACUAGGUACAAUGCUGUUUCAGAGUCACCUUCCUCUCAGAGGAGGUAACUGUGGGGAGCUUCAUAAACAGCUCCCUCUUAAACUUCAGUUGGGUUGUCAUUGUUCUCAGUGGUGCCAUCGGGAGCAUUAACUUCCAACCAAUCUAUUAACGGACAAGGAAACUGUCACCCAGAAGCAGUGAAUUACUCAGCACUAGAGCAAAAAUCUAGAAUGCCUAUCCUAUUCAAACUCAGGUAACAUGAACAGAAGCAACAAAAAUAUAUGGUACCUAGCAAUUAUUUAAUUGAGAGUACAUUUAGUUUUGUAAAGGCAGUUUAAACUUCUAAUGAAAAGCGUAAAAUGAUUGGAUUGAGUGGAGCAAGCCCAGGCGCUGGAACGGGCAACUUCAUGUUGCAAUGACAAUAAUGGUUGCUGUGAUUAUCCGUGCAUGGAAAGUAGUCAGAUCCCAGAUGGGCUUUGUGAAGAAUUUGAAAAAUGUAUCCUAGAAUUUCAGUUAGGGAAGAAAGAGCUGCAGGCAAAUAAAUUGGCUUUAGGAAAAGAGGAGAAAAUUGCUUUAGUAGUCAGUAAAUAUGAUAAGUUGAUAAUAAGAAUAAAUAGUUUGGUAUUAGUAUUUCUGAAACAAGAAAAAGA